UAUCGCCUGUCAAUCAUAUUUUCUUUUGAAUUUCUGUGUGUGUUUUUGUUGGCCAAACAAUGCAAAGAAACUGGACCAAGGUUGAAUCUCUUCAGUCAUGUAAAUCCACAAUUGAGAGUUGUAAAACAGAUUUUUAUAUGUAAAGAACAGAAAAGACUUCUUUUAGACCUAUGAGGAAAUUUCCCACCAGUGUCUAUAACCUGACAGCCAAAUUAAAUGUGGACAAACUGAGAAGAUCUACAUUUUUAGUUGCAGCUGCAUUUUGUACAUUAGCCCAGAAAGACAAGUUUAUUUGUAUAUCAAGAAGGAUCUUGCUUAGCAAUUUAAAGUAAGCUGUUACUGUUUAAGAUGUAAGUGAAGUUUAGGUGAAACAAGGAUUUCAGAAAAUGAGAAAAGUGUUGCAAGAAAACAGAAAGUGAGCCCUCAAUUAGAUAAGAAGUUGUAAUAUACUGUACCUCAGAUCUUUUGAUUUGGAAACAUUUCUUGAACUACAGUAUGUGCAGGGUGAUUAUGUGCCAUUUUGUGUUGAUACAGUCGGCAGGAACACUUCUACCUGUCUGCAGGCCUUCAUCUCCUGCUGGCUGAUUUAUAUUCAAGUUGUGUUUUACUGUGUGCCAUAUAGCCACUGAUUGUGAUGUACAGUAUGAGAGAGGAACAAGAGCAAAGAGGGAGCUUGUGUUUUUGUGUGACACAGAUAUAGAAGUGUCAGAGCAUAUGUGUGUGUGUGAGAGAGAAGACAGAUCUAACAGCAUGUGUGUACACAAGAGACAGCCAACAGAGUGUGUAUGUGUGUGUACCAGACCUCAGUGUGAUAUCAAACACAUCUCAACUUCCUCUUUUGCUUUCAUUGCAGCUCUGAAAAACACAAUAUGUCUGUCUGUCCUGCUCACAGUUAUUAAAUGAGAGCUUUAAGUUUGCACUUGUUAAGUCUUAGAACUAAGAUCAGCUUAGGUCCGUUGAAUUAAAAAGAACAAAAUUUGUGAACUAACAGCUUUGUGUUGACAAUAUGACUGUAAUAGUAAACAAAAUUCAGUUUGAGCUCAGUUUUGGGGUCACAGCAGAAACUACAGCCCAUGACUGCAGGUUAAUCACUCUGCCUUUGUGAGGCUACACUAGGCAAAGGGGUGUUUUGAGCUAAAUGCAAAAUGCUGUUUGGCACUAACAUGCUGAUGUUUAGAAGGUAUAAUGUUUACAAUGUUCACCAUCUCAGCUUAGUGUUUUAGCAUGUUAACAUAUGCUAAUUACCACUAACUACAAAUUAUAGACUAAAGCUGUGUUAUGUCCAAAGCUUAGCUGUGUUAAGUCAUAACAGCUCAUGGGAAUGUCUUUCACACUUUCACAAGACCAAAACUGAAGCUGCAAACUGUCAUUGCAUCACAAGACUCAUCUGUCUCUGUUAGCUCACAGAUGUAAAGCGAUUGUAUAGCUUGUAGGCCCUAAAGGUGAACUGUAGCACAUAAAAAUCAGUGUGCAGGCUCUAAAGAAAUUGCCACUGCAAUUUUCCUCCACAGUCAUGAGAGUGUUUAGGCCUCAAAAUGGGGUAAUGGGCCAGAAAAGGUAAAGGAAACCGAUGCCAAGGUGGUACUGGUAACACUGUCAGAGUGCUGUUCUGACAGUUGCAUUUCUUAUGGCUGGUUGCUUGUUGGUGAAUCAAAGAAACUAAAGCAUAUGCUUCUCUUGCAUUAUUUAGAAUUUGCUGAGAGCAAAAUUAGACUUGCAUGAAAAAUGUCACUUGCUCUAGAAAAAAUGUUUAUUCACCAGAAUUUCCAAUAUGGCUGCAACAAAAGACAUAACAACUGGACUUCCAUUGUGGGUUUAAAAGUGUCAGAUGUAUGUGGAGUUUUAGAGACGAGCGGAAGCUAAUGUCGCCAAACAGUGUUAAUAUGCAGCGCUUAUUGUUACUGUUGAUCCCAGUACAGUGCUUUUCACUGCAUGUGUGUGUGAGUGUGCGAGAGAGAGAGAGAGAAAAUGAGAGAGAACAUUGUGGGGCCAAGCAUAGGCCUGAGCACAGGAUGUUGUAUAUAUGUCUCUGUGCGUGUGUGUGUGUGUUGGCUCGCCAUUCUAUCUCCAAGAUAGUGCUGUUGGAACACAAUGAAGCCCAUUCAACUCAACUCCUGUCUCUAGAAUACUGCUGUAUCACAGCUGCUCCUGAUGGGGUGGGCGUGUGUGUGUGUGUGUGUGUAUCUAUGAAUCUCAUACACACAAACACACCUACACAUAAUCCUCAAUAAAGCCAUCUUUGAAUUGUCAUUACGUUGAUGUAAUACCAUCAUGAGCAAAUGUGGCGGAGGAAUGGCUUGUCAGCCUGUAAAUUAUAAUAACUACAGACCUUUAUCAUGCAAUGUCAGUGCACCGUGAUGUGCUUUAUGAGGGGUGUUCAUCAUGUUGCAUGUUAAACUCAUACAGGGCAACCUAAUGGUCCUUAAAGCUCAUCAGAGAUGGAUAAUAAUACAUAAAUACCCAUUUUGAUAUAUUAAAAACACAAUAUAGAUAUGAAAACAUGUCCAGCCGCAGUGAUAUAGUUGUAAUCCCCCGUGACAAUAUGACAUAUGGCUACAUUAUUUUCUAUGAGUAUAUUACAUGUUGUAGGUACUGUAAGUUAAUGAGCAGAGCCAGGCUUUUCACAGACUUGCAUGAGGAAAAGACAAUACACUGCUCAACACUUGACUGAUAAGCAUGAAAGAACAAGAGUUUACAAAAGGUUGUAACCCAGAAAGUCAACAUAUUUAUUUCAAGACUGAGCUGUAGGUGUAUGUGAGAUAACUGUUGGGUUGUAGGACUGUAAGGCACCAGUCGUAUUUAUCACCGCUCUCCACCUGGAGUGUCGGCCAGAACACGACUUAACGAUGGGAUGCACUUUCUGCAGUACAAGCAAGGGGCAUGAACUUCACACAAUGCGGACCUUUUAACCAGAGAAUCUGCGGUGAUGACAUCACCAUUGACCUUGACCCGAUCGCUAUCUCACUGACUCAACUAAGGAACACAAAGGAACAGCUGAAGAGAGGCAGGAAAUGUGGGAGAGAGAGGGGGAAUGACAUGCAGUAAAGGGCUGUGGAUUGGAUUCAAACCCAGGCCGCUGCGGUAAGGCCUUACCCCACUUUACCAGGUGAGCUUCUGGGGCGCCCCGCAAUAAUAAAUUAUUAAUCAAUACAUAUUUACUUGGGAUUAAAAGAAGCUUUUCUUUUGUAUUUCUCUUUAAUUUUAUUAGCCAUAUUACAUAGUUCCUCCGAGAAAAUGUCUUUAAUAAUAAUAAUAAUAAUAAUAAUAAUAUGAAAUUGUUAAAAAAUUAGGGACCUGUAAAAUAAAGUGUUGCCUAAAAAUAUAAAAACUACUCCUCUCAAAAAGGUAUUCUGACAGCGUGACUAUGCCAUGUAUUCAUUUUCCUUCAAAGACCUAUUAUGUUUGGGUCUCAGAUUUCUGCCACAGCAAUGACUCAGUAACAGAUAUUAACCUUCUGUCAUGGUACAGCUAUACCACUCCUAGUGUCU